rnacentral:misc_RNA from 1 species
ACGAGCAAGGGCGGAAACGCCCGACCUCCAACCCUUUGUGUGCGAAACCCAGUUGCCUCGGGGCCCCCGUCCGCGGGUGCCCCGGCAGGCCCACCAAAAACACUGCAUCUUUGCGUCAGAGUACAUUCUUUGAAUAUAAUCA